rnacentral:rRNA from 1 species
AGAACCUGCCCUUGGGAGGGGAACAACAGCUGGAAACGGCUGCUAAUACCCCAUAGGCUGAGGAGCAAAAGGAGGAAUCCGCCCAAGGAGGGGCUCGCGUCUGAUUAGUUAGUUGGUGAGGCAAUGGCUUACCAAGGCGACGAUCAGUAGCUGGUCCGAGAGGAUGAUCAGCCACACUGGGACUGAGACACGGCCCAGACUCCUACGGGAGGCAGCAGUGGGGAAUUUUCCGCAAUGGGCGAAAGCCUGACGGAGCAAUGCCGCGUGAAGGCAGAAGGCCCACGGGUCAUGAACUUCUUUUCUCGGAGAAGAAAAAAUGACGGUAUCUGAGGAAUAAGCAUCGGCUAACUCUGUGCCAGCAGCCGCGGUAAGACAGAGGAUGCAAGCGUUAUCCGGAAUGAUUGGGCGUAAAGCGUCUGUA